AUGAAUCGCGAAGGUGGCGCUGAUGCUUGGGGUUCUAAAAGGCCAGAAACACCGCCUUGGGAUGCAGCAGAGUAUAGUCAACUCAUCUCUGCAGGGCCGUUGCUGCCACUACUAGAAUAGGCCUUCAUGCAGCACGUGGCAUCAGCCAGCACCCAUGUACCUGCCAUCGACGUCAUACACAGAGGUGAGAUGAGGUGCCACAAGGCACGAAGGAACAAGAAGGGGAAAGGUGUUGCGCUUGUCGUUCCGGAACGAAAGAGAGGCAUCAUUCUCAAUACGGGGUGCCCUGUCCGGUGUAAGCUAAACGUAGAUGGAGCAACAUGGGUGGUCAAUGAGUAUUUUGACGAGCACAACCACAAACUCAUAAAGAAGUUCGACCUGGUGAAAUUUCUGACCGCCCACAGAGGGUUCACCCCCGUCGAAAGGAAAUUCGUAAAGCUGCUACAUGAUUGUAACGUCGGUCCAUCAAGAAUGGUACAGAUACUAUCUCUCAUCCACAGCAAAAAGGGGACUCUGAGUAGCAUGCCGUACAUACCAGCUGACGUCACAAACCUACAGGCCAAGUACCGUAGAGAGAGCAAGUUGGCAGACAUAGAGGCCACAAUAGCCUACUUCGAUGCGAAAGCAAAGGAAGAUCCAGAUUUCUUCUACAGGAUAAGGUUGGACGAUGAGGACCGUGUCAGAAACAUGUAUUGGGUGGAUGGUACUGCAAGGAGAGCCUACAAACAUUUCCGAGAUUGCAUUUCAUUCGACGCGACGUACCUCACCAAUAUGUACAAGAUGCCAUGCGCUCCGUUCAUAGGAAUAAAUAACCACAAUCAGUCGUUGCAGUUCGGAUGCGGCCUCGUCCGGAACGAAGACACAGAUGGGUACGUUUGGCUGUUCAAGACCUUCUUGGAGUGCAUGGAUGGACUUGCUCCGAUGAACAUAAUAACGGACCAAGAUUUCAGCAUGCGUGCAGGCAUAGAGGAGGUCUUUCCGUUGGCAGUGCACAGGCACUGCAGGUGGCACAUUAUAAAGAAGGCUGAGGAGACGCUAGGACCGUUCUUUGCCGACCGUCCAGAGCUGCACAAGGCAUUCGAGCUGUGCGUGGACCACAGCUUGACGGUGGAGGAGUUUGAAAGGAGCUGGAUGGCCAUGACUGAAACACAUCAAGUCCAGGACAACGAGACUCUUGUUAGCCUGUGGGAGAAGCGAAUGUACUGGGUGUCGGCCUACUUCAUGCAGUGCUUCUUCCCCUUUCUGCAGACUACGCAGCGCAGCGAGGGGUUCAAUGCUGUUUUAAAGCGGUACGUCAGCCCUGAAAACUCAUUGCUACAGUUUGCCAAGCAAUACAUAGCUUUGCAACAAAAAAUUCUGGGAUCUGAGCUACAACAAGAAACGACCACAGCCCUAAAGCAGCCAAAAAUGCUAACGUAUUUACCGAUGGAGAGGCAAAUGAGCAAGAUAUACACCAACAAGAUCUUUAACAAAUUCCAGGAAGAAAUAAAGCGUGCCAGCAUGUUCACGGCUUUCCGGGUGGACGAACAUACGUUCAAGGUGUGUUCUAUUUUGGGCAUGUCAGAUUCAGAACCUGAAGACGCGGACAAAGGAAGGAACUACUUCGUCAGAGCCUCGAUAGGGGAAGGCGAGUACUACUGCCAAUGCUGCAAAUUCGAACGGGACGACAUUGUGUGCUGUCACAUACUAAAAGUCAUGGACAUGAACGCUGUGACAUGCAUGCCCCGCCAUUUCAUAAGGAGGCGAUGGACUUGGGACGCUGACGACGCGUUGGCGCCGCAGACAACACACGCAGUUCUGGCUGUGCAUGACGAGAGACCUGAGUCAACCAUGGAAGCCGUGAGGCACAUUGUGCUGACAAAGAACUAUGCUGAGCUAAUUGAUGAAGCGUGCAAGAGUGAUGACACAGCGAGAGUCGCAGAAAAACACAGGAAGGCACUGAAAAGAGAGCUUGAUGAGAUCAAAAAAAGGAAAGCCGAGGAAGCCUUACACCGGUUCCCCCGCACAUCAAGUGUGCCUUCAUCCACGGGGCCAUCGUCUGAAAACUCAGAGAUAGGAUCUGGAACAGCAAGCACACAAACCCAGGUCAGGAACCCACCCCGUUCCAUCACAAAGGGUCGUCCGAGAGAGAUAAGGUACAAGUCGGGACUGGAGAUUCAAGCAAAACACAAGAAAACGAAGAAAGGGGCGGGCAAUCCAUGA
rnacentral:rRNA from 1 species